rfam:Magnaporthe poae ATCC 64411 unplaced genomic scaffold supercont1.4, whole genome shotgun sequence.
GCCCGUAUAGCUCAGUGGUAGAGCGCGUCACUCGUAAUGAUGAGGUCGGCGGUUCGAUCCCGCCUGGGGGCA